rnacentral:rRNA from 1 species
GACGAACGCUGGCGGCGUGCCUAAUACAUGCAAGUCGUGCGGACCUUUUAAAAGCUUGCUUUUAAAAGGUUAGCGGCGGACGGGUGAGUAACACGUGGGCAACCUGCCUGUAAGACUGGGAUAACGCCGGGAAACCGGGGCUAAUACCGGAUAGUUUUUUCCUCGGCAUGGAGGAAAAAGGAAAGGCGGCUUCGGCUGCCACUUACAGAUGGGCCCGCGGCGCAUUAGCUAGUCGGCGGGGUAACGGCCCACCAAGGCAACGAUGCGUAGCCGACCUGAGAGGGUGAUCGGCCACAUUGGGACUGAGACACGGCCCAAACUCCUACGGGAGGCAGCAGUAGGGAAUCUUCCGCAAUGGACGAAAGUCUGACGGAGCAACGCCGCGUGAGUGAAGAAGGCCUUCGGGUCGUAAAACUCUGUUGCCGGGGAAGAACAAGUGCCGUUCGAACAGGGCGGCGCCUUGACGGUACCCGGCCAGAAAGCCACGGCUAACUAC